UUCAGGAAGCCUGUGCAUAAGUAUCUCCCACAGAGAUUCUUCUGUGUUUGAGUGUCGUCACUGUUUAAGCACAAAGUGAUGGGGGAUUUCAUAUCUUAUAGGACAAUUCAUUCAAUUUAAAGUCAGCAUGGAUUUUUGAAGUUACAAAGGAGUGUAUUCCACGAAAGUAUGGGAGUAAACCAAGGAAGAGGUUGUGGGAUCCGGGAAAGAGAAGAUCAACAAAAGAGAGGCGUGGAAAGAAUACCCAAGAUGAUAAAAAUGUCCUGAGUGAAGCUUGCAGGUCCCAUUAGAGACAGUCAGAUGUUCUGGGAAAGAAUUCUUUAAAAGGUAUUGGAGGUGACCUUAAAGACCCCAUAAUGCGAUGUGCACAGAGAACCUAUUAUCCAAAGGAUUGGGCUAUGGACUAAUAUCUUGAGAAUUCACAGAUUUUGGAAAGGCAGCUGUUACUGAAAGCAAAUUGCAUCUCUCAAGCUCUUAAUAAAAUUUUGUGCAAUCCCAUUUUAAUUGCUUUUUAAAUUUUCCUUAGGAAAAAUUCUAUUUACAUUCUUUCCAUGUGCAUUUGUGAAUAUCUUGAAUGGAACAAAAGGUGAAAAUUCAGAAUGAAAAUUUUUGCAAAUUGUGAUUAUAGAAUGUGAAGCUAGGAAGACUCUUAGACAACAUCUAAUUAUAACCUUCUUCCAUGGCUGAGAAAACAAAGGUUAAUUCUUGGAUCAUUUCUUUGAGUAUUUCCUAGAACAAAUUCGUG
rnacentral:lncRNA from 1 species